rnacentral:lncRNA from 1 species
ACACUUUGUGGGCUCUAUUUGAAUGAUCAAUCAACACAAGGGAAAAACUUGAGUUACUUCCAACAGGGGUCUAUUCGUCAGUCAAAACGUUAAUCUUGAAGGAGCAAAGGUUUGUUCAUGAGCUGUCAUGCUCGCUAGGCGAAGCCCACAUCAAUCAACACAAGGGAAAAACUUGAGUUACUUCCAACAGGGGUCUAUUCGUCAGUCAAAACGUUAAUCUUGAAGGAGCAAAGGUUUGUUCAUGAGCUGUCAUGCUCGCUAGGCGAAGCCCACGUGUCUUGAAA